CAAAGAUGAACAAUAGAACCCGGAAGAAUCCUUUUGCCGUUGGAAGCGUGGGAAAUGGUGAUUCUUCCGAUGUGGAUCGCGUAGGUUUGAGUGUGAGCUUUGAAUCCCGAGCGCGCGAGAGUGGUUGAGCUUGAAAUCGCUUGGGAAGCUUGAAAGCACUUGACUUCUUCACUUGAAUGCACUCACUUCCUUGAACUUCUCUCUCUUGCUUCUCUCUUAAAUGAUCUAGCUUUUGGGUUUGUGAAGAGUUGUUUUGAAGCACUUAAGAGCUCCCUUUUAUAGCCCAAAAAG
rnacentral:lncRNA from 1 species